rfam:Pochonia chlamydosporia 170 chromosome 3, whole genome shotgun sequence.
ACAUACGACCACAGCCGCAUGACAAAUCUGGAUCCCGUCCGAUCUCCGAGCGAUAACCAUGCGAGCGCCGGAUUAGUAGUUGGGUCGGUGACGACCAGCGAAUACCUGGUGUUGUAUGUU